UACAGAGGUCUCAAGCGUUGUUCGGAUUCAUUGGGCGUAAAGGGGUGCGUAGGUGGCGCUGUAAAUCAGGUGUGAAAUUUCGGAGCUUAACUCCGAAACUGCAUUUGAUACUGCGGUGCUUGAGGGCUGGAGAGGAGACUGGAAUUCACGGUGUAGCAGUGAAAUGCGUAGAUAUCGUAAGGAAGACCAGUGGCGAAGGCGAGUUUCUGGACAGUUACCGACGCUGAGGCACGAAGGCCAGGGGAGCAAACGGG
rnacentral:rRNA from 1 species